CCUACGGGAGGCAGCAGUGGGGAAUAUUGGACAAUGGGCGAAAGCCUGAUCCAGCCAUGCCGCGUGUGUGAAGAAGGCCUUCGGGUUGUAAAGCACUUUCAGUGGGGAAGAAAGCCUUGGGGCUAAUACCCUCGAGGAAGGACAUCACCCACAGAAGAAGCACCGGCUAACUCCGUGCCAGCAGCCGCGGUAAUACGGAGGGUGCGAGCGUUAAUCGGAAUUACUGGGCGUAAAGCGCGCGUAGGCGGUCUGAUAAGCCGGUUGUGAAAGCCCCGGGCUCAACCUGGGAACGGCAUCCGGAACUGUUCGGCUAGAGUGCAGGAGAGGAAGGUAGAAUUCCCGGUGUAGCGGUGAAAUGCGUAGAGAUCGGGAGGAAUACCAGUGGCGAAGGCGGCCUUCUGGACUGACACUGACGCUGAGGUGCGAAAGCGUGGGUAGCAAACAGGAUUAGAUACCCGGGUAGUC
rnacentral:rRNA from 1 species